AUGUACAGUGCAAUGAUACGUUCAGUGAUAGAUUAUGGGAGUAUAGUUUAUAGUUCGGCAUCUAGUACAUUAAUGAAAAGGAUUGAACUCAUACAAAGUCAAGUGUUCCGAGUGUGUUGUGGUGCAAUGAAUACUACGCCUAUUGUGGCAAUGCAGGUAGAAAUGGGUGAGAUGCCAAUACAGCUUAGAUUAAAACAGAUAGCUUUAAAUUAUUGGGCAAGUAUACAAGGGUGUGAGGAUAACGGCCAUGUGGCAAAAAGGGCACUGAGCCCGUGUUGGGAAAAGGAGAAAAUGAAGAAGGAAUAUGGUAGCUGGAAAGUGCAGGAUUGGGAAAAAGAGAGUGAGAUCCAAGAUAAAGUACAAAUGAAAAAGUUUUUAUAUACAGUUAAUCCGAAAUGGAUUUUUCCAGAAGUGUGUGUUGAUUAUAGUAUUUAUGAUAAAAUAAGGAGCAGUGGGGGUAAAGGGAAUUGGGAUGUGAUUACGGAAGAUAGGUUAAACAGCUAUGAGUCUUUUGUGCAUAUAUUCACAGAUGGUUCAAAGGAACUGGAAGGGGGAAAGACCGGUUUUGCCUUUGUGAUACCACAUAUGGGAGUAGUAGUUCGGAAACGAACUCCUGAUCAUUUGUCUGUGUACACAGUGGAGAUGAUGGCUAUAUUGUUUAGUCUUCAAUGGAUGGAACAAAAUAGAAUUAAGAAAGGGCUUAUAUGUACUGAUUCGUUGUCUGUCUUAGUGUCGGUUAAAUUAAUGUCUACCAAAAGUCGACUAGACAUUUUAUAUGAAAUAUAUGAGACCGUGUUUAGAUUAAGGAAAUUGGGUACUGAAGUUGCCUUUUUGUGGGUACCGGCACAUAGAGGAGUAGAAGGAAAUGAAAUGGCGGAUUAUUUUGCAAAAAAGGCAAUAAGAGAGAGUGAAAUAAUACAUGUUGCGUAUAGUGCAGCUGAAAUUAAAUCUAUCAUUAAGGCACAUAUAAUGGAAGAGUGGCAAAGACUGUGGGAAAGGGAAAAGAAAGGAAGACAUUUAUUUCAGAUACAAGGGAAAGUAGGAAAAUGGAAAAAUAUGAGGAUGAAUAGUAGAGAUCAAAGGAUAAUAUCAAGAUUAAGAUUGGGACAUACUGGGCUUAAUAAUACGAUGCAUCUGAUGGGGAAACAUCCCACAGGUUUGUGUGGAUGUGGGGUGGGGGGAGAAACGGUGGAACAUGUUUUGUGUGACUGCAUAAAAUAUGAGGAAAGUAGAGAACGACUCAGGGAGAAACUGAGAAACAUAAGAGGUGGGGUGAUUAGUGUAAGGAAUUUGUUAAAUGGUGAAGAAGGGAAAUAUAGGUUGGUUAUUGAGUUUCUUACACACAGUGGUUUGUUGAAUAGAAUUUAG
rnacentral:lncRNA from 1 species